rnacentral:rRNA from 1 species
GGAAGUAAAAGUCGUAACAAGGUCUCCGUAGGUGAACCUGCGGAGGGAUCAUUACACAAAUAUGAAGGCGGGCUGGAACCUCUCGGGGUUACAGCCUUGCUGAAUUAUUCACCCUUGUCUUUUGCGUACUUCUUGGUGGGCGUGGUGGGUUCGCCCACCACUAGGACAAACAUAAACCUUUUGUAAUUGCAAUCAGCGUCAGUAACAAAUUAAUAAUUACAACUUUCAACAACGGAUCUCUUGGUUCUGGCAUCGAUGAAGAACGCAGCGAAAUGCGAUAAGUAGUGUGAAUUGCAGAAUUCAGUGAAUCAUCGAAUCUUUGAACGCACAUUGCGCCCUUUGGUAUUCCAAAGGGCAUGCCUGUUCGAGCGUCAUUUGUACCCUCAAGCUUUGCUUGGUGUUGGGCGUCUUGUCUCUAGCUUUGCUGGAGACUCGCCUUAAAGUAAUUGGCAGCCGGCCUACUGGUUUCGGAGCGCAGCACAAGUCGCACUCUCUAUCAGCAAAGGUCUAGCAUCCAUUAAGCCUUUUUUUCAACUUUUGACCUCGGAUCAGGUAGGGAUACCCGCUGAACUUAAGCAUAUCAAUAAGCGGAGGAAUC